CAUUCUACUGUAAUCUCAUGGAACCUGCAGUACCUAUGAGAGCUGGGCGAUUUCAAGCAAAAUUCUGUUCAGAGACUGUGGCUUUGAGAAGAAAGGGCAGUGAUCACUGCCUUUGAUCUUGAAGACCCUGUGAGGCAGGUUCUCCCGGACGAGCUUCUCCUGGAUGUCGGGCAAGAGUAUGCGGUCAUCAAGUGUUUGGAUGAAAUACCGACGGACAGAGCCAUAGUUUUCUGGAGUUAGAGACAGCUUCUCCAUGAUAGGCGCCAGUGGGAUGGGUCUCAUUGACACUGCAGCCAAAGAUAUAUCCUGCCAUCACCAUGAAUACCUUCAUCAGAAACAGAAGUCACAUCCAUUACAAUGGCAACUAUUAAAACGUUACAUGCCAUCCAGAGGCAGGAAGUGUUGCAUAUGCUGAUAAUACCUAGAUAUUCACAUCCAACUCCAAGGAUCCAUGUGGGAUAUGUAUCCAAAUCAAAUAAGUAUCAGAUACUUGAACUUGCCAAAGACUUUGAUUGCAGCUUAUCAAGAUUGCUGAAGCGUUGGACUCUUCCAAAAAUGAAUUCAACUUGCCAUAACAAUGUAAGAAGUGAAUGUUUGCUCUUUUGAGAUAUUGGCUGAGGAUGAAGUUAUUAAAAUGAUCUUGUAAAAUGUUAUUUUUCUUGUAACCUUAAGAUAAUUGAAAGUUUUGGAUGAGAAACAUCCAUAUUAGAAGAGUUAACAAAUAACAACUUUUAAUAUUUUUUUUGUAUGACAUAUAAAAGUAAAUAUAUAAAUAAUUUAGAAUGAA